CAACAUCGCCAGGGAACUACGAGUCCCCUUAAAACCCAAAGGACUUGACGGUGUCCCACCCACCUAGAGGAGCCUGUUCUAUAAUCGACACUCCACGAUAUACCUUACCAUUCCUAGCAUAUUCAGUCUGUAUACCUCCGUCGCAAGCUUACCGUAUGAGCGUCACUAGUAAGCUAAAAAGAUCCCCCCACCCCUAUGUCAGGUCAAGGUGCAACUAACGGAAUGGGUAACAAUGGGCUACAAUUUCUAUAAUAGAACAUACGAAAGCUUAAUGAAACACAUCACGAAGGCGGAUUUAGAAGUAAAUAGAAAUCAAAAAGUUCUUUUUAAUCAGGCCCUGGGACACGU
rnacentral:rRNA from 1 species